rnacentral:tRNA from 1 species
UUAAUUGAAACCAAAAUAGAGGUAUAUCACUGUUAAUGAUAUUAAUGAGAAAAAUCUCCAAUUAAA